UAGCCGUCAGCAGCCAGGCUAUAAACUUCGCUGGUUGUUGUCCCUAACGUUUGCUUUGGUGCAACAGUUUUGACAGUUACGCAGCUCACAGCAAACUGCCAUCGGAGUUUGUUCUGCUUGGCUGCCACUUGGCUGUCACAGCCUGUCACGAAGCAGAAAGGCUCUAAAAUCCUAACCCCAUCCGACAGAGUUUAAUCAUUCCUAUUACUCCCGAUGCCUUCACCGGCCACCUUGAAGCACACAGGGUACAAUUCUGCCCUGCCAGACACACCUGCCUUAACCCAAGUUAGAAAUUUCCAGUGAAUGGACUUCAUGAUGCUGUUUCCUGUUCCGUGCUCUCUCUGAAAGCAGAGAUUUGAGAAAAUGUAAAGGCUCACGAUGACAACCAGGAACUACCUUUGAGAGAAGGGAGGACCAGCAGGAGAGUAGAAGGAAGAAUGCAGAUGAGUGGGACAGGAGAAGAAGAACAAAUAUAAUAGUGUAGAUGCACACAAAGGUCACAGUGAAACACUUAUCUGGGUAUCUCAACAGAGUUGAUUUAAAAUACACAUCAGUUCAUAUCUGCCCUCAAAUCCCCUGAUCACUCAUAUCCCCAAAACGUCAUUUAUAAGCAUCCCAUCUCUGCAGACUAGGAACUGUGGCAGUGGUGUGGUGAUCUGACUGACUGUCUCUUCCUGGCCUGCCAUGCUAAGGAGAAUUCCACGUGCUGUCCUGUCCACUAGGAUCAGAAAUCUUCCACAGAUGGCUACAGGGCUCCUUCCUCAACCUCAUUUAAGUCUUACCUCAAACAUCACUUUCUUAUUUACCUGCAAUCACUUUUUCUGUUUCACUUUUUCAUUUGUACUUAUCAGCAUAUUCCAUCUGUACACAUGUGCACACACACAUUUAUUUACUGUGUUUUGAUCUGUUCCUCCCCACAAGAAGGUCAACCACACCAAGGACUAGAAAAUUAUUUUAUUUUAUAAUCUAGUUCAAUUAAUAUUGAAAUCUCACUAAUAUUUGUUUGCAAAUGCAUACAUGACACACAGAUAUUUAAGGGGAUAUAAAUUUCUAUGGAAAAAUUAAGAAAUUAAAACUGGUAUCUCUAUUGAAGAAAAGAAA